GACGUAGGGCGCAAGCGUUGUCCGGAUUUAUUGGGCGUAAAGAGCUUGUAGGCGGUUUGUCGCGUCUGCUGUGAAAUUUCGGGGCUCAACCCCGAACUUGCAGUGGGUACGGGCAGACUAGAGUGUGGUAGGGGAGACUGGAAUUCCUGGUGUAGCGGUGAAAUGCGCAGAUAUCAGGAGGAACACCGAUGGCGAAGGCAGGUCUCUGGGCCAUAACUGACGCUGAGAAGCGAAAGCAUGGGGAGCGAACAGG
rnacentral:rRNA from 1 species